rnacentral:lncRNA from 1 species
UUAAUCUUUUUCCCUUUGAGCCAGCAUCAUCCUCACCAAAGAAAAACCACGACAAAAUUGGUACCGCCAGCGUUCAGCCCCACCAACAACUAGUUCGACGCGACCGACCCCCCCUUUUUCUCGUCCUGGAUACCAUACCUGACCUCAACCCGACAAAAUCCCACCUCUCCUUCUCUCUUCCCAUACCAAAAAAGUUAGAAACUUCGAGAAAUUGCUUAGGUGGAUUGAGCUAUGUGUUUUGACGUACGGAUGGUACAAGUCUGGUACCAAAUCCAUCUCAAACCUUAUCCCAUCCUUUGAAUUCAAAUUUCCCCAUAAAAAUUCCGAAAUUGCCCCCUAAAAUCCUUAAUCCCACAUCGGUUGAGGGUCAGAGGAAUCCAUUUCAUUUUUUCUAUAAAAUGUUGUCUUUAGAGCAAAAAAAGGGAACAAUUCUCAAAGAGGGAAAAGCCGUCUUGAGCAAAUCAGUAAAAAAUUUCCUUUUUAGUUAAAAGUUUUGUUUUCAUAAAAGUCGGUGGUUAAUCGGAGUUUUCGAGUUAACGACGAAGAGGUUAUCCGAUGGUUGUGGGUUCGACGAUAGCUCGAGGUUCCGUUUUGCUGAUCAAAAAUCGGUCAGUACUCGACUAUUUUUCUCUUUUAUUGUUGUGUUGCAAUGGUUGUAGCGGUAGUAGCUUUGAUUAUCAACUUGCUUGCUGGGAGUAGCUGUAGAUGGAUGGCUAUUGGGAUAUUAUUUUGCUGAAUCUGUUGUUCGCGUCGUAAUAUUCGAUUCGUUUGUUUUAGAUAUUGUCUCACAGUUGAUAUAAUGGGGUAGUUUAAUUCACAUUCUUUCUUCUCAUUGUCUUGUUCAAAGUCUAAGGCAUUUAUAUGAUAGUUAGAUAACUUUAGUUUGCUUGCCUGUCGAUGUCAAUGUCGAAGAUGAAGAGUCAUCAUGUAACAAAUACUUUCUCCGUUUAAAAAAAGACUUCUCCUUUUUAGUCUAUUUUAAAAAGAAUGAUUUCUAUUCCUUUUUAAUAACUUUUUAAUUUUAACUUUUCAUGUCACAUGUUUAAACCUAUAAGAUUGAAGAGCAUUUUGGUACAUUUGACAUAUCUUUAAUUUAAAACCACAAGAUUCAAAUUAUAUUUUUAAACUCCGUGUCAAGUUAAACUAGGUCAUUCUUUUUUGUAGGGUGUAUAUAGUUUGGUGUUCCGCACCAUUUAGUUACUUGAUUAUCUCUUAUGACAUCAACGUGUAUCUGCAUGUCUAAUCCUGCAAAUUUCCCAUGCAUUAUUAGUGAUCAAGGAUUUCUUCAUCUUUAGAACUUAUUUCCAAGAGCUAUCAGAUUAGUCUAUUCCCAAAUUUGUAUGUAUACAUAUAACCUAUAUUUUCAUUUUUUUUUUAAAGAAACGAAAAAAAAAGGGUUUUGGGGUUUUUGAUUAUGGUCAAUUGAUUUUUUGAUUAUUUGUAAAGUUAUAUACUUUUUCAAUAAAAAUGGAAUUGGUUGAUCAGUAUGAAUCUUCUCCUUUGGUUCCUCCUCCUUUUGUGAUUACUGACCCUAGUGAGAUAGAUCUUGAAGUUGGUUCUGGUGAACAGAUUCAGUGUAGAAUUUGCCUUGAGACUGAUGGUUAUUUUCUUUCUUUUGACCCCUUUAAUUUCCUUUUUCUUGGUUUUGCUGUUUGUUUAUUUUUGGUUACUUAAUGAGGAUUUUUUUUCGGUGUUUGUAACUGUAAAGGAAGCUGCUUUAGAUGAUUCUUGAGACCAUGUGGUAGAAAUGGAAGUAUUUUGGUGAAUUUGUCUUGAAAAUAUGAUACCAUAACCUGAAAUUAUACAAGUUAAGUGUACUAGUCAAUAUACAUACAAACAAACUUGAAUUCUGGUGAUGACAUAAUGAACAGACUAUUACAUCUUGUAAUUCCCUUAGGUUUAUAGUGCUUCCUUGGGCUUCUAUAGCGAUAUCUUGCCAACUUGAGAGUUAUGUUGUCUACAGAAUGUGGAUACUUUUUGCUCUUUGCUUUUGGAUAUCCACUGCCCAGCUUGAUUUUCUAGUUAAAUAUGUUUUGGCUUCAAAAAUUCUGUGUUAGUCGAUUAUUUCCUAAUCUUUGAUGUCAGUACGGUUCUUUUCUUCAUAUUGAUUCUUUGGGUUAUUACUUAUAAGUUAGAUAUCCAUAUUUGAACAUGUAUUAAUUGUUAUAUUUUUCUCUAUGCAUGUGGAUGUAUUUGAGUCCUAAAUGGACUCUUCCCAUUUUUUGCAUUAUUGAUAUGGGCCACUGAGGCCCAUCCUUCUUGAGUCGAUUUUGAAGGCCCAAAAAGAUAAUCACACUACCAAUGGGCAUAAAAGAUAGAAGAAGAAAAAAAAUGGAUUGAAGUCCCAUCGUUGGAGCAGGCGACGAGACUCGAGAGUCUCAUUCUUUUAUUUAUCCAUUGUUGUUCUAUUUAUUUAUUUACUGUUGCUUUAGUUAUUUAUUUCUUCCUUCUGUUAUCUAUUUGGACCUCGAAGCUAAAGUUGUAAACUAAUACAGGUGAAUCGAAAUUCGAGCCCAAAGGUUCGAAAAUAUAGAUUAGGACAGGUGGAAGAUGGGCCGAAAGCCCAAUAUCUAGACUAGGACAGGGUGAUGGAUUUGGGUUUAAAGGCCGAAAUCAUUUAUUUCUUCCCCUCUUUUCCCUUUUUCUAUUUUUAUUUGCUCGGUAUUUGAAUCUAGUUAACUCCUUAGCUAAGUCGCUAAAAAACUGAUUUUGCAAAAACUUUUCCUUAAACAAUCCCUUUUUCAACAAUCGAUUUCUUAUAAAGUUAGUCAAAAGAAAUAAGUUUCAAACAGUCUAGAUAACCGCAAGUUAGCGGAUGUUUUAGUUGCUUUAAAACCUUUUUAAAACGUUAAUAGGAACUGUUUACCUAGAAUUUCAACUUAAAUGAUUUUCCUGUUUUGAAUCAUGUAAGUACUUUACAAAGGUUUCUUAAUUCCUUUUAAAAAUUAAAUGGCGAUUUUUUUAAGUCAAAGUUUUCACAAAACAG